UUUAUGGAGAGUUUGAUCCUGGCUCAGGAUGAACGCUGGCGGCGUGCCUAAUACAUGCAAGUCGAGCGAACGGACGAGAAGCUUGCUUCUCUGAUGUUAGCGGCGGACGGGUGAGUAACACGUGGAUAACCUACCUAUAAGACUGGGAUAACUUCGGGAAACCGGAGCUAAUACCGGAUAAUAUUUUGAACCGCAUGGUUCAAAAGUGAAAGACGGUCUUGCUGUCACUUAUAGAUGGAUCCGCGCUGCAUUAGCUAGUUGGUAAGGUAACGGCUUACCAAGGCAACGAUGCAUAGCCGACCUGAGAGGGUGAUCGGCCACACUGGAACUGAGACACGGUCCAGACUCCUACGGGAGGCAGCAGUAGGGAAUCUUCCGCAAUGGGCGAAAGCCUGACGGAGCAACGCCGCGUGAGUGAUGAAGGUCUUCGGAUCGUAAAACUCUGUUAUUAGGGAAGAACAUAUGUGUAAGUAACUGUGCACAUCUUGACGGUACCUAAUCAGAAAGCCACGGCUAACUACGUGCCAGCAGCCGCGGUAA
rnacentral:rRNA from 1 species